AGCGAACGCUGGCGGCAGGCUUAACACAUGCAAGUCGAGCGGGCACUUUCGGGUGUCAGCGGCGGACGGGUGAGUAACGCGUGGGAACGUGCCCUCUGGUUCGGAAUAACUCAGGGAAACUUGAGCUAAUACCGGAUACGCCCUUUUGGGGAAAGGCUUGCUGCCGGAGGAUCGGCCCGCGUCUGAUUAGCUAGUUGGUGAGGUAACGGCUCACCAAGGCGACGAUCAGUAGCUGGUCUGAGAGGAUGAUCAGCCACACUGGGACUGAGACACGGACCAGACUCCUACGGGAGGCAGCAGUGGGGAAUAUUGGACAAUGGGCGCAAGCCUGAUCCAGCCAUGCCGGGUGAGUGAUGAAGGCCUUAGGGCUGUAAAGCUCUUUUAUCCGGGACGAUAAUGACGGUACCGGAGGAAUAAGCCCCGGCUAACUUCGUG
rnacentral:rRNA from 1 species